AAUGAAAUGAAUAAAGAAGAAUUCAAAUGACAUAACCAAAACAAAAUGGUCAAAUGUGAAUGGGAUCAUCAUCAACCAAUGGUAAACAGAAGUGAAAUGAAGAUUAGAAGUCAAGAAAGGUCAAACAUAUUUUUGGUAUAUUUUUGGAAUUAAAAUAAUACAUAAAAUAAAAUGAAUAAAGCAUGGUCAAACUUCAAAU
rnacentral:lncRNA from 1 species